rnacentral:rRNA from 1 species
AGUGAACGCUGGCGGUAGGCCUAACACAUGCAAGUCGAACGGCAGCACAGUAAGAGCUUGCUCUUACGGGUGGCGAGUGGCGGACGGGUGAGGAAUACAUCAGAAUCUACUUUUUCGUGGGGGAUAACGUAGGGAAACUUACGCUAAUACCGCAUACGACCUACGGGUGAAAGCAGGGGAUCUUCGGACCUUGCGCGAUUGAAUGAGCCGAUGUCGGAUUAGCUAGUUGGCGGGGUAAAGGCCCACCAAGGCGACGAUCCGUAGCUGGUCUGAGAGGAUGAUCAGCCACCCUGGAACUGAGACACGGUCCAGACUCCUACGGGAGGCAGCAGUGGGGAAUAUUGGACAAUGGGCGCAAGCCUGAUCCAGCCAUACCGCGUGGGUGAAGAAGGCCUUCGGGUUGUAAAGCCCUUUUGUUGGGAAAGAAAAGCAGCAGGUUAAUACCCCGCUGUUCUGACGGUACCCAAAGAAUAAGCACCGGCUAACUUCGUG